AUUAGAAUAUUAUAAGGAAUAUAUUGAAAUGAUAAUUCAAAGAUAAUCUAAUU
rnacentral:tRNA from 1 species